UUUCCUGUGACAUACAAAUCGAUUGGACAAUCUAUGUUGUAAUAUUUCAAUCAAGUUAAAUUUGGUCGAAAUCGAUUGGGAAAUCGAUUGAACCAAAUCCCAGGUAAGAACGUUUUCAGACAAAUACAUACAAAUCGAUUGGCACGUCGAUUAGUAUCAAAAUAGCUGAGUCACUGACUUAAACCCAAUCGAUUGGCAAAUCGAUUGACAAAACCUUUUGAAAACCCAGUGAACUCUGAGCGUGUGACCAAAUCGAUUUUAAGUAUUUGUUAAUCGAUUAUGAAGAUUUGAUAAAUCGAUUAUGGAAUCGAUUGAUAUGUGUUUCAGUUUGAACAUAACAUCUGCAAUCGAUUACGAAAUCGAUUCAUAUCAGUCUUAACAUAAUCACUGAGAAAUGUUGUUUAAAGAAUCGAUUGGUAAAUCGAUUGGGUUAUAUAGUUUCAAGAUUCAAGAAAAACAAGACACACG
rnacentral:lncRNA from 1 species